UCAAUAUAAAAAUUAAGCUACCAAAGUUUAAAAAUGGUGUCUACCAACUAAAGUCUUGCCAUAUUAUAGACACGUUAUUCUGUGUCUCGGUUAUUUUUCUUUACUAUUGCACUGAAUUUAAAAAGCAUUAAAAUAAUUUAAAAAUAGGUUAAAAAUAUAUUCUCGGUGAAUAAUUUUGUUACUAUAGCACAAUCCCUGGCACACCACUACUUAGGAGCAGUAAACGAUUGUGAAACAUAAAUAAACUAAACCGAAAGUGAUAUACAUUGGAUGAUAAUUAUUUCAUAAAUGGAUACACAAAUCUGUACUAAUUAUAUUUCAAAAACACUACUAAACUAAACAUGAACACAUAUAAUUAAUCAUAUAAUGGUCUACAUUGUUUCAUCUUGUGCUCGAUUUGAUAUGUUUCAACUACUUUUAUUGUCUAUCUAAUUUCAAUCGUAUGUUUCUACACGUGUAUAUACAUGUAUAACGCGUAAUACGCAUGUUCAAUAAUUAAUCAUAUCACUUGUUUUACACUUAGAUACAUUUUGUUUUCACACGUUAACUAACGACUUUAUUCACAGAUAAGAUAAAUUAUGGUGUAAUAGACGAACCCUGGAGUUAAUAUUUAAUACCAUACUGUUUACAUCAUUCUAAUCGUUUAAACGCAUCUUGCAGCAUCUCGAACAUUUAAACCGAUCUUAACGUUUCUCAUUGACUCUCAAUAACACAGCAAAUUAUAAAAAUGUAUAAAAUUACGAUUUUCAUCGCCAUGGUAGUUCUGACCCUUCAUUUUUCAAACAGUUUACCGCUUGACAAUGAUCAGAGCGAACCUACAGUUGAAACACUACCCGUUGAGUCGUCGGCCCCUAACAGCGCUGAGCCUGAGGAACCUCUACCCUCAUCAACAAUAAAACUAUCAAAAACCGAAUCAACUCUACACACUCUACAAUCGUCAAGUUCGAAACAAUUAUAUUUUACAAGUGGUCUACUUUUACUAACAUUCGCUUCGAUUUUCAUUUAAACACUUACAACAAAAUGUAUUAAUAACUAAAAUACUGAUGAUUAAAAUAAGCUUAUUACUUAACACGUAAGACUUGAUGCUUUAAUUUUCUAUAUUAUCGACGUUAUUGCUAAUCAAAAUAUUUUACGUAAUACUCCAAUUACGUUUUCCUAUAUGUUACAUGUACGAAAAAUAGUUUAAAUUAAUUAGCAUAAUAAAAUCUUUAAAAACUGACUGUUAAAUAUAACUAAGUUGUUUUUUUAUGUAAUUUUAACUAGAAAACAAUAAUUAAAUGUUAUGUUUUAAUAAUUAUUUUUAUUGAAUAUAAAUAAAAUAGUUAAAUGUUGCA